rnacentral:rRNA from 1 species
GUGGGCAAUCUGCCCUUCACUCUGGGACAAGCCCUGGAAACGGGGUCUAAUACCGGAUAACACUCCUGCCCGCAUGGGUGGGGGUUAAAAGCUCCGGCGGUGAAGGAUGAGCCCGCGGCCUAUCAGCUUGUUGGUGAGGUAGUGGCUCACCAAGGCGACGACGGGUAGCCGGCCUGAGAGGGCGACCGGCCACACUGGGACUGAGACACGGCCCAGACUCCUACGGGAGGCAGCAGUGGGGAAUAUUGCACAAUGGGCGAAAGCCUGAUGCAGCGACGCCGCGUGAGGGAUGACGGCCUUCGGGUUGUAAACCUCUUUCA